GACAGAGGGUGCAAACGUUGUUCGGAAUUACUGGGCGUAAAGCGUGUGUAGGCGGUCUCAUAAGUCGGGUGUGAAAGCCCAGGGCUCAACCCCGGAAGUGCACUCGAAACUGCGAGGCUUGAGUACCGGAGAGGUUGGUGGAAUUCUCGGUGUAGAGGUGAAAUUCGUAGAUAUCGGGAGGAACACCAGUGGCGAAGGCGGCGAUCUGGGAAGAUACUGACGCUGAGGUGCGAAAGCGUGGGGAGCAAACAGG
rnacentral:rRNA from 1 species